UUGGGAAUAAGUGUGGUCUCCCGGGGAAUUCAGAUGAAUUGGCUAGUUGGUUCCUCUUCUUGUUUUUGUUUUUGUAAAUAUGUUGUGUAUCUUGUCUCUUAGAGUUAUGUUCUGAAAGGAGAGAAAAGAAAAGAGACAAGAUGAGAAAAAAAAAAGAAGAAAAAAAAAAUACAGAAAAAUGAGAAAAAUUAAAAAAAAAAAGAAUUCGUGAAUAAUGGAGUCAAGAAGAGGAUUGAAUUAGAGGGUUUUGGGUGUGAUUUGACCGUGUUUUCACUUAUUCCCCAUUGCUCCUCUGUUUCUCUUGGUUUGUAGCUUCUCAUCCAUAUUUAUCCUCCCUUUUCCUUGGC
rnacentral:lncRNA from 1 species